AGCCCCGCCUCGCCGGAACCAUCUACCCGCCUGGCGCCAUGACACCUACUGAGGCGGAAGUGCGGAGGAGCCCGCGGACUAGGACGACCGCAUAGUACCUACGGCAGUGGGAAAGGAGACGCCCUAGCUGCAUGACAUCCAUGUACUGGAUGUGGAAGCCUUCAGGAACAUCGGAUGCCCUUUAAGGAUCUGAUUGCUACCUUGAGAAUCUGUAUUUGCAUUAAGAAGUGAGAUGAAAUAGCUGUGCUCUAAACGCAUCCUCUCAAAACGCGAAUGAGCGAACGCCAACAUCAUAAUUUUCUUGCCUCUACCAAAGGUAGUAAGGGUGUUCAGGAAACAAUGCACUGGGCACAACGUUCUUGAAAAAGCGGGCACUGCUUGAAAACUAGCUUAUCCUAAUAGAAAGACAGUCUCCCAGCCUCAAGAGAUUCUGGAGAUGCACCUCCAGUUGUGUAAAAUGCUCUGUGUGAAGUGGGGAAUAUUUUAGGGAAACUAAUAUAAUUCAUUUGUUGCAUACCACAAAUGCUAGAGGAACCAAUGAUCUGAACCCUAGAAAGUGAUAGGAGCCCGGUGUGGUGGCAUAAGCUUGUAACCAGAUGCUCAGGACGCUUAGGCAGGAAGAUUGCAAAUUCAAAUUCCAGGCCAGCCUGAUCAUUUUAGCGAGAAUAUGAAAGAGUCUGGACCCGCGGGUUGUGCACUUGCACAUCCCAACGACUGGGGAGGCUGAGGCAGGAGGAUCCUAAGUUUCAGGCCAACCUCAGUAACUUAGUGAGACCUUCUGCAAUUUAGUGAGACACUGUCUAAAAAUAAAAAUGACGGGAAAAACUGUCCAGAAUCAUGAAUAUUUGCAUAUACUCUUUGAGGAGGGAAACAGAUGUGGCUGAAACAAGAUUCUGCUAUCCAUUUCUAUUUCUAUCUCACUCAUUAUACAUCCUAGAUUUCCUUGAAACCCUAUCUCCUCAAAAAAAGACAAUUUUUGUAAAAUGUUCUACAGUCCCUUUUAAGGGAAGUAAUUUGGGUUUCUCCCUGGCUAAACGACACUGGGAGCAGUUCCAUUUUAUUGGGAACAGGGAAGUUUAUUUCCCUAGAGGACCAGGGUUAGCAAAAGUGUUCAAUCCCACAGGGCAGUUUUGUUUGCUUAUUUUCACAGAAACUUCCUUCUUACUGUUUAGAGAACAUAAAGUCCCCACAUCAGGCUGACCCUGGAAACAUUAAGACAUGAAGAGUGAGGGAGGGUGCCUGCCUGGUAAACCAGGAAAAAGGCAGAAACCUGAGGCUGGAGAUGAACAGGUCCUGCUCCAAAAGCAAGCUUCAGGCACGCUAUUUACCUUGCCUUGGUUCAACAGCUCUCAUCUCCUACUCUCCCAAGUUAUAUCUCUUUCCUCUUUUCAAACAUACCUCAAAAUUUACCCUCAGGGGAUCCUUUCCCCUGAAUGACUCCCAUGUUAUCUUCAUUCUGCAUUGCCUGACAACUUAGAUCAUUUAUUUAUUUGUACCUUAUUUACUUGUUGAUCUCAACUGUUCUCAAUCUGUCUCAUUAUGCAGGCAGUUCGUUUUCUUAUUUAUUUAAGUGUUUAUGGUACUGGGGAUUGAACACAGAGGCAUUCUACCACUAAGGUGCAUCCCUAGCCUCUAUUUUUUUAUUAAGAUAAGGUCUCGCUAAGUUGCCCAGACUGGCCUAAAAUUUGCAAUUCUCCUGUCUCAGACAGGUGUGUGCCACUGGGACCCAGCAGGUAAGGAGCAUCUUAAAAUCUAGUACUUUCUUCUUUCUAAUGUCAUUCAUUCAUUCAUCCAGCAAACUGCUUGUAUGCCUGCUCUAUGCCAGACACUUCCCUAGACACUGGAGCCAGAUGUAAGAUGAAUGGUCUUUUCCCUCAGGGAGCUUACAAUCUAGUGAGGAAAAAAAAAUGAGUGAGAGAGAACAUCAUCAGAGAAGGUAAUAUUUGAAUAUGAUAUGGUUAAAAAAAACUUAACAGUUUAAAGCUAGAGUCAUUUGUCCAUUCGACACCUAUAUAUAGGGCAUCUUCUGUGUGCCAGACACUGCAUUAGAAAUUAGAGGUGCAAAGAAGAAAAGGCAAGUUCUAUGCCCUGGAGAAGCUUAUGGUUCUAUGGAGAAGGGUGUGAAAUUAGUAAGGUAGAUUGAGUCCAUUUUUGUUUGUUUUCUCCCUUUUUGAGGUGGCUGGAGAUUGAACUCAGGACCUGUGCAAUGUUAGGCAUGUGCUCUACCAGAGCUACACCACCAUCUCCUGUGUUGGUCUUUGAAAGGCAAUGAAGAGCAAUUAGAGGUUCAAUCAGACAGGUAAUAGGAGAGAACUGAUACUGGUAAGAGCAGCUGGCUGGAGAAAUGCAACCUAAUUAGAAAACAGGAUGAGGGUUCAAACAAAGAACAUGAAGAUAAUGGGCCAGAAAUGUGAAAUAUUUCCUCCCAGACAAAGUCAGGGCAGCUGGAAAGGGAGAUGAGGCUGUUAGUAAUUAGAAGCUUUGAUGCCACAAGAUGGAUAUGAUCCCUCCAGGGCUUAUAGCCUGGAUUCAGUGUUGCAAGCAAGAAGUCACUUGUUCAGGAGCUGCAGUGCUUAAGGACAAAUAAGAGAAGCUGACCAGAAGGCUGUACCUUUAGAGAAGCUAAAUCCAAAAGGUUAGCCAAUGCCAGGUGUGGUAGUGCAUGCCUGUCAUUCCAGCUACUCAGGAGCCUGAGGCAGGAAGAUCACAAGCUUGAGGUCAGCCUGGGCUGUCUCACAGUCAAAAAUAAAAAGGACUGGGGAUGUAGUUCAGUAGUAAGUGCUCCUGGGUUCAGUCCCCAGUACCACAAAAAUUUUUAAAAAUCUAGGAGCAAACAAUCCAAACAACUAGUAAGUCCAAAGUGCUUGGAAGAAAAAGAGAAUUCAAGAAAAAGUCAACAAGUUGUAAAACUGGGAAAUCCAGAUGAGUGGGAAGGUUUGAAGUGAAGAAUAGGAAGCAAAACCUGGGAAAAUCCCCUGAGCCAAAAGGAAGGAAGUCUUGAUUUUUUUUUAAGUCCAGAUCCCAGAUAUAAUUUCAAACAUACAGAAAAGUUGAAAGAAUAAUUUUUAAAAAGCACCUCUGCACCCUUUACCCAAAUUCACUGAUGUCAUCUCUCCCCUUUUCUUUAUUAUUUGUGUUCUUAGAUUACAUCUGUAGGUAGGUAGAAUAAAGGUAUAAAACACGUGUACAUACACAUACAUUUUUUUCUUUUGAAAGUAAAUUGCAUGCAUCAUGCCCCCACUUGCCCCUCAAUACUGGAAUAUCCUAAGUACAUUCUCUUACAUAAAUGUAAUACAUAUAGUUAUCAAUUCCAGGAAAUUUAACAUUGAUAUGAUACUUUAUCAAUAACCCAUAUACUAAUUUUUGUCAAUUGACCGAAUAACAUCUCUCUUAGCAUUUUUCCCCCUCCAGCACAAGAUCCAGUUUAGAGUUAUAUAUUGCAUUUAAUUGUCCUUUCUCUUUAGGUUCCUUUAAUCUGGAAUACUCUUGUAACCUUUUUUGGUCUUUGAUUUUUUUUUUCUUUUUUUUGUACCAGAGAUUGAACCCACUGGGCCACAUCCCCGGCCCUUUUUUAUUUAGAGACAUGAGACACAGUCUCACUAAGUUGCUUAGGACCUUUCUAAAUUGCUGAGGCUGGCUUUGAACUUGAAAUCCUCCUGUCUCAGCCUUCCAAGCCGCUGGGAUUACAGGCAUGUACCACCAGAACAGACCUCCCCACUCCAUAAUGGAAUGUUCCUUAUUUUAGGUUUUUUGUUUGUCUCAUGUUUAUUCAUUAUUAGAUUCAAGUUAUCCACUCUUGGUCUAGAUACUACAUAAGUGAUAUUGUGUACUCAGAAUUUCAUACCCAAAGGGCAGAUGACUCUUUGUCCCUCACCUGGUCAAGAUGCCUGAUUUCUCCAAAAUAUAUUUACUAAUUUUUUCCUUGUAACUAAUAAACAAUAUGUAAAGAGACACAUUAGAUCAUUCAUUAUGCUUCUAUGUUUAUCAUCUACUGAUGAUUCUUAUCUAUACCAGUCCUUCUUUAUCUCUUAUUUAGUUAUUUGGUUGCCUAUUUAUUACUGACAGGGAUGCAUGAGUUACUAUUUUUUCUAUGGUUUGUAAUUCAUUAUUCUCCUUAAUUAUUUUUGUGCUAGAAUUUUUGAGAUUUAGUGAAUAGGUACCUUUUCAAGUUGGCUUCUAUAUCCCUCUUUUUUUUUUCUUUUUUUGUAUGAGGAUUGAACCCAAGGGAGGUUUACCAUUGAGCCAGCCCUUUUUACCACCAUCCCCAACCCUUUUUGAGAUGGGGGUCUCACUAAGUUGCUUAGGGCCUUGCUAAACUGGUGAGGCUGGCUGUGGUCCUCCGCCUCAGUCUGAUGAGUUGCUGGGAUUACAGGUAUGCACCACUAUGUCUGGUUUUCUGUCUUUUUUAGCAUUGCUGAAUAAUAGAAGUUCCAAGUUCAUCUUUGACUUAUCCUGGCCAAGCCAUUUCUCUAAGGAGUCUUAGUCCUUUUUGUGGGAAUUAUAUUAGAAAAGAUCUGGGCAUUAAUCCCAGAAUGACUUAUUAGAUGCUUGUGGCCUUGGGUAUGAAUGCCAACCCUGAAUGGACAGUGUCCUUACUUAUCCUUUCCCUGAGUAUAGCAAGACUGAAAUUCCCAAGAUUUUUCUUUCCAUGACUCCUUUAGGGUAUCUUUAGUAGAGAAAGCUUGAAUAGGGGAAUGAGGCAGAUUUUCAUUGCCUAUUCCAUGAAUACUUAGUUAGCUGCUGUAGCAGUCAGCCCAGUCAGCCCGACCCCUAUAUCUCUGUGGCUUAACCCAAUUAAGUUUUACUGCUUGCUCCCAUCAUCAGUUCAUUGUGGGUGGUAAGAGUGAGAUGUUUGUUUUCUCCCAUGAAGUCAUUCAGGAUUCCAGGAAGUUCAUCCAGAUUGUUGUGGUUUCACUAUUCCUUUUAGCCUUGGAUUUUACCACUAGAUUUUAAAUCUCAGACUAGAAAAAAAAGAGGGGGCGGGAUAUGGAUGAUUAUGUAGAGUUUUUACAGGCCAGGCCUAGAGGUAUCAAAUACAUAAAUCUAUUCUACAUUCAUUGGUAGGAACUCUGGAACAUGAAUAUUGCUAACUGUAAGGAAGGGUUAGAAAAUGUAAUCUUAAUCAUAUACACAGAAGGAAAAUAGAUUAUAGUAAAAUUAAGAUAAACCACUUUCUGCCUCACCCAAAAGCCAUUCCCUAUAUUACUUCUUUCUUGUUAAUCCUAGUUUUGUUCAGGUAGAAAGAAGAUCCUUUGGUUUCAAGGAAGGCAAGUUCCUCCUCGCACUCAGGAAAUAAAUCACAAUUGGUCUAAACCAAUCCUGGUAAUUCCAUUUCUCUUUGAAACUGAUAGGUCUAAGGACGGGUAUGGGACUUAGUUCUGGAUGAUGAAAUACUACAGGAAGUCUGCUGGGAGGCUCCUGAGGGGAAAAUCUUUUUGUGUAAAGAAGAUAGUAUUUUGAGGGGAAAAAAAUUCUUUUGCUCCUGCCUCUAUCUUAUUUCUCAGAUAAAAGCAGGAAGACAGGUAGCCUGGAGCUCCCAGAGCUAUGUUAUGACCACAAAUACUACAACAAAAAGCAACGGAGAGAAACAGCAUGCUGAAGACAGAGGAGAAUGAUGGGAAAAGCAGGUCCUGGAGGAGGUGGUUCAUCUUAUGAAUGAACUUGGAACUGCCCACUUCUGAACUUCCUCUUCUUUUGUGUGGUACUGAAGAUUGUACCCAGGGGCACUCUACCACAGAGCUACCCCCAGCCUUUUUUAAUUUUUAUUUUGUGACAGGAUCUCACUAAAUUGCUGAGGCUGGCCUCAAACUUGCCAUCCUCCUACCUCAGCCUCCCUGUUAUACUUUAACCUCCUGUUACAUAAGCCAAACAUGCUUACCUGAUACUGGAGAGAACAAGGAGAUAUUUUCUAAAAGAAGGAGCUAUUCUGUGCUGUCCAUAGGUUCUGAGAAGUAAAGGAAGAUAAAGAUAGAAGUGUCCUGCAGAUCUGGCAAUUAAAUAGUCAUUGCUAAUUUUAUAGCAACUUUAGUGGCAUAGUGGGGGCAGAAGCAGCGUGGUUCCUCCAUAAGAUUAUGCAUGGUAUGAAUGACUGACAAGCUGGGAAGGAAGGUUUGGCCCACCUUGAUGAUAGAAUUUACUAUGGGUAAUACCUUUAUUAAUACCUUUAUUCAGCCCUCGACAUCCAAGGAAGUUUCUUGGGUUUGAGCUGUCCACAUUGGCUACAUCUGGGAAGUCAUUAGCAGAAUUAUUUUGACUUUCUCUCACUUCUCACAGAAAUAAGCCAAGAAAAGUUCUGGCCCCUUACCGGAUGUCAUGAAGGACAAAUCUAGCAUAAGUUAUGGGGAUUAGACUAGAAAAUUUUGGGGACUGGGUUCCAGCAGAAAUGAUAGCCUGAUGGAACAGGAGUCUGAAUGAAGGGCAAGCCUAUAUGAUUCAAGUGGAAGAUUCUAAUACAAGCAGUUAAAAGGGGAGUGACAAUGGAGAGUGGCAGCAGUUGCACAGCAAUGCACUAAAUGCUAUUGAAUUAUACAUCUUAAAAUGCUUAAUUGUAUGUUAUAUGAAUUUUACCUCAAUAAAAAUGGAGAUGAAGGGAGGUUUUCAGAAUUUA